UACGUAGGUGGCAAGCGUUGUCCGGAAUUAUUGGGCGUAAAGCGCGCGCAGGCGGUCCCUUAAGUCUAAUGUGAAAGCCCACGGCUCAACCGUGGAGGGUCAUUGGAAACUGGGGGACUUGAGUGCAGAAGAGGAAAGUGGAAUUCCAUGUGUAGCGGUGAAAUGCGUAGAGAUGUGGAGGAACACCAGUGGCGAAGGCGACUUUCUGGUCUGUAACUGACGCUGAGGCGCGAAAGCGUGGGGAGCAAACAGG
rnacentral:rRNA from 1 species